rnacentral:piRNA from 1 species
UCAGAUAGUGGUGCACCAUUAAUAUGAU